GACGAACGCUGGCGGCGUGCUUAACACAUGCAAGUCGAGCGAUGAAAGCCUUAUGAACUAUUCGUAGUGAUUGAGGCCGGAUUAGCGGCGGACGGGUGAGUAACGCGUGAGCAACCUGCCCUAAACAACGGGAUAGCCUCGGGAAACCGGGAUUAAUACCGUAUGAGACCCCGCCUUCACAUGAAGAAGAGGUUAAAGAUUUAUCGGUUUAAGAUGGGCUCGCGUCUGAUUAGCUAGUUGGUGAGAUAAAAGCCCACCAAGGCGACGAUCAGUAACCGGCUUGAGAGAGUGAACGGUCACAUUGGAACUGAGACACGGUCCAAACUCCUACGGGAGGCAGCAGUGGGGAAUAUUGCACAAUGGGGGAAACCCUGAUGCAGCGACGCCGCGUGAGCGAUGAAGGAAUUCGUUUCGUAAAGCUCUGUCCAAGGGGAAGAUAGUGACAGUACCCUUGGAGGAAGCCCCGGCUAAAUACGUGCCAGCCGCCGCGGUAA
rnacentral:rRNA from 1 species